rnacentral:rRNA from 1 species
CGGCAGCACAGCAGUAGCAAUACUGUGGGUGGCGAGUGGCGGACGGGUGAGUAGUGCAUCGGGACCUACCUAGACGUGGGGGAUAACGUAGGGAAACUUACGCUAAUACCGCAUACGUCCUACGGGAGAAAGCAGGGGACCUUCGGGCCUUGCGCGGUUAGACGGACCGAUGUUCGAUUAGCUAGUUGGUAGGGUAAUGGCCUACCAAGGCGACGAUCGAUAGCUGGUCUGAGAGGAUGAUCAGCCACACUGGAACUGAGACACGGUCCAGACUCCUACGGGAGGCAGCAGUGGGGAAUAUUGGACAAUGGGCGCAAGCCUGAUCCAGCAAUGCCGCGUGUGUGAAGAAGGCCUUCGGGUUGUAAAGCACUUUUAUCAGGAGCGAAACGCUGUCGGCUAAUACCCGGCGGAACUGACGGUACCUGAGGAAUAAGCACCGGCUAACUUCGUGCCAGCAGCCGCGGUAAUACGAAGGGUGCAAGCGUUAAUCGGAAUUACUGGGCGUAAAGCGUGCGUAGGCGGUUUGUUAAGUCUGUUGUGAAAUCCCCGGGCUCAACCUGGGAAUGGCAAUGGAUACUGGCAAGCUAGAGUGUGAUAGAGGAUGGUGGAAUUCCCGGUGUAGCGGUGAAAUGCGUAGAGAUCGGGAGGAACAUCAGUGGCGAAGGCGGCCAUCUGGAUCAACACUGACGCUGA